rnacentral:rRNA from 1 species
UACGUAGGGUGCAAGCGUUGAUCGGAAUUACUGGGCGUAAAGCGUGCGCAGGCGGUCUUGCAAGACAGAUGUGAAAUCCCCGGGCUUAACCUGGGAACUGCAUUUGUGACUGCAAGGCUGGAGUACGGCAGAGGGGGAUGGAAUUCCGCGUGUAGCAGUGAAAUGCGUAGAUAUGCGGAGGAACACCGAUGGCGAAGGCAAUCCCCUGGGCCUGUACUGACGCUCAUGCACGAAAGCGUGGGGAGCAAACAGG